CUGCAAUUUAGUACUCAGUUGUUGUGCCCGUCAAACGAACGUGUUCGGUUUAUCAAAGCGUGUGCGCUGUACUGUAAUAGAUACACAAGCCGUCGGAAAAUUCUAAGUUUGCAUCAACCACCAUUAACAACACAGCCAUUUACCAACAUCACCACACGACCACUAGAAAUCAUUAACCCAAUGUGCGUGUGUGUGUGUGAGUGCGCCUAUAUGUUUUUCGCAAAGCAAAGUGAAGUUUUCAAUUCGAAGGCAUCAAAGGCGAUAGAAUCUUGCGAUUAAGUGGUGAAAAGUUUCGAUUGCUGUGAAAAUUUCAUAAAAACCCAAAUACAUACAAACAAGUGAAGUGAAUCAAAAGUCACAAAUUUUCCAAAUAACAACAACAUCAAUUCAAUUUGACAGCUCUAAAUUUGCUUGUAUAUGUAUUUAAAUACAUGUGUGUGUAUGUGAGAGUGCAGCUUAUGUCAAAUUGUGUGUGCGUGUGUCUGGCCACACCAACGACAAGCAGCCGCUAAGAACAGCACAGGUGUAAAACCAACCAAACAAGCCGUGCAACAACAAACAAAAAAAAAAUUAAAAAGAAUAUCAAACAGCGGUAACAAAAACGAAAAAGAAGCAACUUAAUCAACUUUAAGACGCGUAAGAGAAUAAAAACGUAAUCAAAGUGAAGUGAAUGUAGAGAGAAAAGCAGCUAAAAUAGCAACAUCAGCAACAUUUGUUGUCCUUCAAUGGAUUGAUGCAAAAAGUGUUUCGCAGCUACCCGAAACAAAAAAGGUGGACGGAGAGUUUCAAAGUAUUAAGUUAUUAUCCUACAAAUGUGUAAUUCAUACUUGUCGUACUUUUAAGUACCCAUACAGUAAUUACAAGUACAAAGCGAAAAGAAAAUAAAAUAAAUACUGGCACACGCCCGCUGGUGAAGAUCUGUGUACGCCUAAUACAAAUUGUCGAGUGUGGGUGUAGAGGAGUGUGCGGAAAAAGUAUCAAAUUUUGUAUUUUAUGCAAAUUUGUUUUUGAUAAGAAGUAGCAACAAAAAACGCAAAUUUUCUUGCUGAGAUUUAUUGAAUUUUUUGCAUUUGUUGCUGCGCGUGUCAUAUCAUCGUUUUUGCUGCCGCCAGUUUUCGCCACAAAGUAACUCAGUCAUUGAUUGGUUCGUCAAGUUGGAUAAUGAAUGCGCAAAAAAGGUAAAAUUGACGGAAUUUUUAAAUAUUUUUCAAAGUAUUCUCUUUCACCAAAUAGUAAGUUUUUUAAUGGCUUUGCAUGCAUUUUAAUUAAACAAAAAAACUUUUAAGCCUACAUAAAAAACAAAAAAAACAAAUGAGACUAAAAAUAUAUAUGAAAAAUGAUGACCAGCCGCUCGUUAUUAAUGAGCGAUGGAAAUUGGACGGCUCUUAAAACUUUCCGGUCCACUUUCCGAGUGCUGCGCGCAUUAAGUGUCCUUUUACAGCAACAAAAAUAAUAAUAAAAAAGGCGGAAAGAAGACAAACUCUUUGCUUGAGAGCAUGAAAAGCCAGAGGUCGCAGCUUUAUGGAAAUUCAAACAAAAAAUAAAAAAGAAAACAAAAUAAAAAAUUACUAGCAAAAUAAAAAAUUAUAGAAUCGCGAAAAAAACGAAUAAUGAAACAGUCAAACGGUAUGCGACUGACAAAUGACAAAUCCUCUUCAAGCAAGACAAAACUUUUCUCAUUAAAAGAAAAUAAGAUGAAGUGGAAGACGAACAAAUGGAAAGACGGAAGCAGUGAAAGCAUCAAAAACGGCCAAACUAAAAGUGAAAUCGAAAAAAUUAGAAACCAAACAAAAACAAAAAAAAACCAAAAAAAAAAAAAAAAAAAAAAACUUUUCAGCCGUUCCUCAUUUAUAGCAGCGGAUGCCAGUUAGCAUUCGAUACCACUGGCACGAAAUUAUGUUAAUAUCCGCAAGGCAAGAACUUCUGAAAAAAAAAUGGUAGAGCGCUGAAGUGGAGAGCACAGAAAGCCACAGAAAUAGAACAGAACACAGCCAAACAGGCGCACUCGGAAGCUGUUGAAGUGCUUUGGCAAUAUAUUUUUGAACGAUUUAUGGACAGCCAUACAACUCCAUUAUUAUUUAUUGAUAAUUGUGUGGAUAUGUGCAAACAUAUACACUCACACAUACACUAACACAUACAUUCAUAUACACAUAUACAUACACCUUUACACAUACAUAUACAUAUACAUAAACCUUUACAUACAUGUAAAAAUACUCACAUAGCUAUUUUUUUAUUUUUAUAUAUGAAAAAUUUACCACCGCCAAAUGUAAGUGUCAUUUAAAAAUAUGGCAGUCGCCGAACACUCAAGCAGCCAACUGCACUGUUUCAUCUGUGUAGGGAGCAUAUGCAGACAUAAGCGUGCAUACAUACGCAUAGUAGAUUUCAAAUGUCUGUUAGGUUUUUUUGAUAAAAAAAAAGUUGCAUUUAUUUUACUUUUCGCGCAAAUGUCUGACCACCUUUUUUUGUGCUUUGUGCACACAUACUUAAAUAAAGUACAGGGUAUCGAGCUUGAAAUUCUGUUGUGAAUUUAAGAGUUUGGGGGUAGUCAGAGACAUGCAAAAAUUUUGCUGAUUUUUUUGAAUAUUCAUUUAAUUUAUUUUUUCAAAAUAAUAAUACAGAGCUUUUCCCAUGAAAUAA